GCCACUGCUAUUAUUACAGGUAAUAAUAAUAGUAAUAAUGAUAACAUAAUGUUAUCCAUUGUUUGAUCUGUCAUCAAGUUUUUGUUUUUUCUAUCCUCCACAGAAUAAGCAAACAUUUAGAGAAUUGUGUAUAUUCCCAGCAAAAGUGGAUAGACUCAGCUUUUGUCAAAGUAAUGCUGCAGCGAUGAGAUGGAGAAUUCUACUUCCAGUUAUUAAUUACCCCACAUAUUCCACAGAACUGAUAAAGUUUUCAUGGAAUGAACCCCAGGAUUUACAGGAUCACAGACACCGAGACACUCAUUCUGAGGCAGUGGCUGCCAGACCCAGCACUUGAAGGGUGCAGAUCACAACUCUGGAUACCUCUGGAGAGGUAUCUGGGGAGGACCAUGGGCAGGUCAGAGCUUCCGCAUUUAGAGGCCAGAUGCUGAUGUGAAAAGAAACGUCUCUGCAGAACAAUGCUGCUGGUUCCUCUCCACACCUCCCCUUCCCACCAUGCUGAGAUACCCUCUUUCCUUUGAAGAUUCUUCAGCUUUCACCCUUGACAGGAGUAGUGGUGGUGAAAAGAAACUAUGACUGUUUCUUUUGCUGUGCAGAAGCUUUUUAUCUUGAUGAAGUCCCAAUAAUUCAUUUUUGCUUUUGUUUCUCUUGCCUUCAUGUUCAAAAGCUUCUGCACAGCAAAAGAAACAGUCAACAAAACUGAGAGACAACCUACGGAAUGGGAGAAGAUAUUGGCAAAUGACGUAUCAGAUAAAG
rnacentral:lncRNA from 1 species